CGCACAUUGCGCCCUUUGGUAUUCCGAAGGGCAUGCCUAUUCGAGCGUCAUUAUCACCCCUCAAGCCCCCGGCUUGGUGUUGGAUUGGGUAGUUGUAUACCCGUCUCAAAGAUAAUGACGCCGUCCCAGAGGGAAACGGUACGAGGAGCUUCUAGUCAAGCAUGUACUGAAGAUGACUCUGUGGCGGUGGUCUUAAACCCUAUAUUUUUUUUAAGUGUUGACCUCGGAUUAGGUAGGAAUACCCGCUGAACUUAA
rnacentral:misc_RNA from 1 species